rnacentral:snoRNA from 1 species
ACCUUCCACAUUCCAUACACAUUAAACCUACAUUCUGAUCUGAGUGGUUAUAAAAGGAGGAAAAAUAAAAAUUGAAAUGGACUUCACUUCUUUUCUGACCUAUAAACCAGUUCCAAGCAAACAAAA